AUUGUCUAUAUUCAUAUAUGUUCUUAUUGCUUGCAUUGAACCGAUCACUCAGUGCAUGAAUUAGGGUUAAUCGAUUUAGCUAGCCGUUAAUUGAUAACUUGACACGAUUUGAAUGAGCCUUGCAUCCCUAGUCAGCGAGAGUAGAUAUUAAGGUGCAUUGUGAACAUAGCGGACUUGAUUUCUAAGGCUUGCCAUCGUAUCUUGAUCCAAACGAGAGUUUAGGCAUCAAGACCGAUUUGCAAAGGAAUCAACACCACGAGAGUGAGUUGAUUCAAUCAGAGUGAUCCGAGUUUAGACUUGUUAUAAACUGGACUUGAAUAAUUGCUUGGUUUGCGAUUUCAA
rnacentral:lncRNA from 1 species